rnacentral:lncRNA from 1 species
AUGUUCAUGUCAUCUGAGAAGAGGAGAUUUCAGGGGCUGACUUGGACUUCGCAGAUGCCUUUUAUGGUGGAGGAAAUCGUGAGUAGCUCUUUAAAGUCUCCGCUGUUGCUGACUUGCUUGUUAUCACUCAAUUAUUAUCAUUUGCAAGAGACUUACCUCUUGAGAAUGAUCAAUGGAACUUGUUUGCACCAUAGAAACUUAGGGAGUAAGUGUGAUGUUGUCUGUUUUUGAUGUUGUUGGACUUUUUUUUUUUUUUUGCCAGUUCACUUGCUUUUGUUUAGUCUUUGGAAUGAUGUAAGGCAAAUGUGACUCUCCUGGCCAUGUGAGGCGCACAGGCAUGCGACUUGUGAAGUCACCCAGGGAGCUGUGCUUACAAAGGUGCUAUAUUGGUUUACUGGUCUGUAGUUACCAUGUUGCUCUUCUUCAUACAGUUGGGAUGAGGGUCCCACAUUUUUGUUUUGCACAGGACCUUGCCAAUUCUGUCACUGGGCUAGACAGCUGCUUUAGUUUAAUUUGAUGUUAAACAAUGUAGCUGGAAGUGAUGGAAGAAAGUUGGCAGGAGGCUGUGUGUAUGGUUAUCCCUGCCAUGACAAGCAGCAAGCUCCAACUUUUACCUGAUCUGUCAGCCAUCUCUAUGCAAAUUGAUGGUGCAUUUUCUUUACUCUAAGACAGUCACAAUUGCAACUCUCAUUGUCACAAAGAGAUGACCCAGCACCUCCUAAUUCACCCAAGCCGAAGCCAAAUGCAAACCCUAAGCAACCUGGAUUUAUUGGUAAGUGCUUCUCACUCUAUGGGUUGUCUGUAUAUUGUCCAUAGUAGAGUGGCAUCCACGUCAGCUGGAUGAGAGGCUUUCAGAUGAGCAUGUGCUUGCUAUUAACUCUGUACAGAGUUAUUCCAUUGGGCAGGGAGGGAAGUACACAGUUUUCUGAAAUAGAUAUUUGACUUCAUUUUAUUUUUAGUUUGCUGAUUUUACUUCCAAGAUUGUAUGGAACUUCUAAAACACUGAGCACAAGAUUUUCAUGUGAACUUGGUAUAGAGAAAAUGGCCUGUGCAUUCCCUGUAGAGAAACUUGGGUGUUUUCAAUGUUUUUGCUCUUGAAUAUUUGUAUCAGCUAUUUUGACACUUGAGAGCAUUCUCAGGGUAAUCUGACUAGCAACUGGUUUUUGAAGUGAAUUGUUGUGAAACAUUCAGGGUUUUAGUUUUGUUUUUGUUUUUAAUUUUUAACACAGAAUCAUAAAUAAUGUGCCUGCGCUCUUGGCAUUUUGAUGGUUAUUUGCACUUAUAUUUUAUAUAUCAGUUUAAAUGAAGCAAAUGUUAAGUAAUAAAGCCAGUCUUUUGUUCAUACUGCACUGUAACGUUAUUAUUAUUAUUAUUAUUAUUAUUUGAGAUGGAGUCUCGCUCUGUCACCCAGGUGGGAGUGCAGUGGCACGAUCUCAGCUCACUGCAACCUCUGCCUCCUGGGUUCGAGCAAUUCUCCUGCCUCAGCCUCCUGAGUAACUGGGAUUACAGGCAUGCACCACCAUGCCCAGCUCAUUUUUUUGUGUGUAUUUGUAGUACAGGUGGGGUUUCUCCACGCUGGCCAAGCUGGUCUCAAACUCCUGACCUCAGGUGAUCUGCCCACCUCGGCCUCCCAGAAUUCUGGGAUUACAGGCAUGAGCCACUGCACCCGGCCUAUUUUAUAGUUAUUAAUAGUCACUGAACAUUUGCUCAUGUCAUUUGAUCAUUUAUAUCAUAUGACAUUUACUGUCAAUUAUAUACUAUUCUAUAUAGAUAUAUAAUACAUUAAUUUAUUUAACUAAUCCCUAAUGUCUAAACUAUUGUGUCUUCUGACUUUUUAGAGUUAGGAAUUACAAGGCAAAUUUGAGUCAACUUCAUCUGCUUUUUUUUUUUGAAGAGAUUUCUGGUAUUCAAAUUGUCUAGAUCAAUGUAGAUGAGUCCUUUUCUUUUUUUUUUUUUUUUUUUUUUGAGACGGAGUCUCUCUCUGUCGCCCAGCCCAGGCUGGAGUGCAGUGGCGAUCUUGGCUCACUGCAAGCUCUGCCUCCCGG